rnacentral:lncRNA from 1 species
UUUCCUCUUCUUAAACUUGGUCCGGUAAUUAAACCAAAAAAAAAAAAGAAAAAGAAAAAAGGAACGCGUUCCAAAUCCUUCUCACUUGAUGCAACACUAAUUAGAUUAUCCUUAUUUCUUUUCUCUACAACUUCAGCGUCAUCAUCUUCGAUGAGUAAUGAAACAUAUUUCUCUGUAUUUGGAAAAAAAAUGCAAUUUAUUACAAUAAAGUAACAUUCCUCAUCAAUCAAAUAUAUAAACAUAAUGUGGAAAUUAACCAAAUGUCUAAAAACUCCUAAAUUUUUUUUUGCAGAUUCAUAUAUAAAACAAUGUCUCUAGCAAAAAGUUUAAACAAUCGUGAUGUUCAAGCUUUAAUAAGCUCCAAGUGUAAAACUUCUUGACCUGGGAAAACAACUAACAGAUAUUGCUAGGAUUUAAUAAAUGGUUUUACCCAUUCCUGACAAGUAUACCCAAAAUGAACUCUACCCACUUCUUUUCCAACUCAAUUACUGGUUUAAAGAGGUUGGAUUGGGUUGGGUUGGGUUGGUCGGUUUUGGGCUUCUACCCAAUUAAACCCAAUCCAACUUGAGGUUGGGCAUGUACCUAAGGAUGAAAGUAUAAGAAACGAGAUAUUGGAAGAGGCUCACUCUACCCCCUAUGUUGCACAUCUAGGCAGUACAAAAUAUAUCGAGAUCUUCUCUCGAUACAUUUUUGUGAAGAAAUAUGAAGAGAGAAAUGGGUCUAUUCAUGGAG